rnacentral:rRNA from 1 species
CCUACGGGCGGCUGCAGUGGGGAAUAUUGGACAAUGGGGGCAACCCUGAUCCAGCCAUGCCGCGUGUGUGAAGAAGGCCCUCGGGUUGUAAAGCACUUUCAGUGAGGAAGAACGCCUGGUGGUUAAUACCCAUCAGGAAAGACAUCACUCACAGAAGAAGCACCGGCUAACUCCGUGCCAGCAGCCGCGGUAAUACGGAGGGUGCGAGCGUUAAUCGGAAUUACUGGGCGUAAAGCGCGCGUAGGUGGCUUGAUAAGCCGGUUGUGAAAGCCCCGGGCUCAACCUGGGAACGGCAUCCGGAACUGUCAAGCUAGAGUGCAGGAGAGGAAGGUAGAAUUCCCGGUGUAGCGGUGAAAUGCGUAGAGAUCGGGAGGAAUACCAGUAGCGAAGGCGGCCUUCUGGACUGACACUGACACUGAGGUGCGAAAGCGUGGGUAGCAAACAGGAUUAGAUACCCUUGUAGUC